GCAGCAGUGGGGAAUUUUGGACAAUGGGCGAAAGCCUGAUCCAGCAAUGCCGCGUGUGUGAAGAAGGCCUUCGGGUUGUAAAGCACUUUUGUCCGGAAAGAAAUCCUUGGCUCUAAUACAGUCGGGGGAUGACGGUACCGGAAGAAUAAGCACCGGCUAACUACGUGCCAGCAGCCGCGGUAAUACGUAGGGUGCGAGCGUUAAUCGGAAUUACUGGGCGUAAAGCGUGCGCAGGCGGUUUGCUAAGACCGAUGUGAAAUCCCCGGGCUCAACCUGGGAACUGCAUUGGUGACUGGCAGGCUAGAGUAUGGCAGAGGGGGGUAGAAUUCCACGUGUAGCAGUGAAAUGCGUAGAGAUGUGGAGGAAUACCGAUGGCGAAGGCAGCCCCCUGGGCCAAUACUGACGCUCAUGCACGAAAGCGUGGGGAGCAAACAGGAUUAGAUACCCUGGUAGUCCACGCCCUAAACGAUGUCAACUAGUUGUUGGGGAUUCAUUUCCUUAGUAACGUAGCUAACGCG
rnacentral:rRNA from 1 species